rfam:Ovis aries breed Texel chromosome 1, whole genome shotgun sequence.
UCUUUUGUGGUCUAGUGGCUAAGACUCUUGAGCUCCCAAUGCAGGGGGCCAGGUUCAAUUCCUGGUCAAGGAA